GUGUGCGUGUGACAGCGGCUGU
rnacentral:miRNA from 2 species